ensembl:lncRNA
CUAAAACGCUUACAGUACGCGCAGCCUUCCUGACUCCCGUUCUCUCCGUGACGCGACGUCGACGCGGCUCCCUGCUCCGACCGCCGGCCUCCCGGGAGGGAGCUCCACUGCUCUCUCUCUCCGGUCGUGUGGCAGAACCCAUCCCGGAGCCGUGUUCGCGUUCCCGGCAGAGGGGCCCGUUCCGGAGAGGCCCUGGGCCGGCGACGGCGUGACCUACGUCAACAUCCCCAUCAGCCCCACGUCCAAGAAGCAGCUCAACUACAUGGAGCUCGAGAUCCAGGAGACUGGGGCCCCGGGGUUCAGGGACCCCGGCGCGCUCCUCCC